ensembl:lncRNA
UAGAGAUGGGAAGACGUCCAAGACUUCAUUGCAGCUGGGGCUGCAGCUGAUGGCGUUGGGUUUGCACUGGGCUCUGUUGCACGGUGUCAUCCCUCUUUGAGGAAUUGUUGGUUGAGAUCCCCUGGGAAGCCGGCCUUAGGGACAAAGGAAUGGAACGGAGUUGCAUGGAACUCCUUAGGGACGCCUGUCUGAGAGCACAGGAGCUCUCCAAAAAUUUCUCACACUGGAUGGGCUGAGCUGCACCACGGGGAGGUGUUGGGAAGCACAGCGGCUGAAUGUGCCACUCCAGAGGCCACUCACAGCCAGGGCGCAUCCCCAGACUGCUCAUUUCUGGGCUCUCUUACCACCCAUGCAAGCACCUCCAUGAGGCCAACAUGCCCAGCAGACUCCACCAUGUGGCAUUUCCCAGCAGACCUCCCCAUGCUGCUUCUCCAGACUGCAUGUGCAGCUGCAAGCAGGAAUUCCCAGAGGAGCAGAAGAACUCUCCGGGCUCUGCUGUUAUCCUACAAGGCAUCAGCGUGGGGCCGGAUAAACCCAACGGAUCAAGGGCAGCUUGGCUGGUCAAUGGGAGGCAGCCAAGGCAAACAGCAGUGGCUCCCAGACCUCAACAGGAGCCCCUCAGUGGCUCACUGCACUUCAUUUGCUCUUUUGCUUUUAGGAGAAGGGGUGAGGUGUGGGGCUGGGCACGACGACAUGUGGGCUCUCAAGCGAACCCCCCCAGGGCCGAUGGAAACUGCGUAC